rnacentral:sRNA from 1 species
CCGCAUGAAGGAUGGCAGCGGAAAUCCUCCCGAUUUUUCUUCGGGAGAUUGCAACGAACAGCCUGACGCAGC